CCAGCAUUAUAUUCCGUGCAUGGUUUCUUUUCUUGCCAUGCAUCGACAAUCUUGAUUUUCCUCGAUACUUUCUUCACAUACAAAACGCAAACUUUGACUUCCAAUGGGCAAGUUAUGGCGGAAACAAUGCUUUAGUACCGCAAAUAUCAGGGUUCUCUUAAUUUUUUUUGCACUUUAACUGGAAAAAGUUCGAUUUGAAAUUUCUCGGGGUUUCUAAAUCAAGAAAUCAACAUUAACCUAUACAAUCAAAAUCAAUCAGUUUCUCAAAAUAAAUUAAAAAAUAGAGGGACCAAAAAAAAUCUAACGAUCCAGACACGAUGUCGAAUGAUUCAAACAAUGGAGGGAAAUGUGUAUUAGAUACUGAUUUAGAGUAUGAAGAGAAUUCCCAUGGCAACAGCGAUUUUUUGUUCUUUUGGGUUUAGUCAUCUGGUUCUUCAUUAGAUUGACAUUUUGCAUCGCUUUCGAGAUCGAUUUCUUCCAACAAACUUUAG
rnacentral:lncRNA from 1 species